rnacentral:rRNA from 1 species
CAGUAGCCACGGUAAUACGAGGGGGGCAAGCGUUGUUCGGAAUUAUUGGGCGUAAAGGGUGCGUAGGCGGCUUGACAAGUCUUGUGUGAAAUCUAUGGGCUCAACCCAUAGUCUGCACGGGAAACUGUCGGGCUUGAGAAUGGGAGAGGUGAGUGGAAUUUCCGGUGUAGCGGUGAAAUGCGUAGAUAUCGGAAGGAACACCUGUGGCGAAAGCGGCUCACUGGACCAUUUCUGACGCUGAUGCACGAAAGCUAGGGGAGCAAACAGGAUUAGAUACCCGCGUAGUCCCUGUCUCUUAUAA